AUUGAACGCUGGCGGCAUGCCUUACACAUGCAAGUCGAACGGCAGCACGGGUGCUUGCACCUGGUGGCGAGUGGCGAACGGGUGAGUAAUACAUCGGAACAUGUCCUGUAGCGGGGGAUAGCCCGGCGAAAGCCGGAUUAAUACCGCAUACGAUCUACGGAUGAAAGCGGGGGACCUUCGGGCCUCGCGCUAUAGGGUUGGCCGAUGGCUGAUUAGCUAGUUGGUGGGGUAAAGGCCUACCAAGGCGACGAUCAGUAGCUGGUCUGAGAGGACGACCAGCCACACUGGGACUGAGACACGGCCCAGACUCCUACGGGAGGCAGCAGUGGGAAAUUUUGGACAAUGGGCGAAAGCCUGAUCCAGCAAUGCCGCGUGUGUGAAGAAGGCCUUCGGGUUGUAAAGCACUUUUGUCCGGAAAGAAAUCCUUGGCCCUAAUACGGUCGGGGGAUGACGGUACCGGAAGAAUAAGCACCGGCUAACUACGUG
rnacentral:rRNA from 1 species